rnacentral:rRNA from 1 species
GAUGAACGCUAGCGGCAGGCCUAACACAUGCAAGUCGAGGGGCAGCACGGAUAGCAAUAUCUGGUGGCGACCGGCGCACGGGUGAGUAACACGUUUGCAACCUACCUUUGACUGGGGGAUAGCCCGAAGAAAUUCGGAUUAAUACCCCAUAAUGUUCAUGAGAGGCAUCUCUUAUGAAUUAAAGCUUCGGCGGUCAAAGAUGGGCAUGCGUACCAUUAGCUAGUUGGAGAGGUAACGGCUCACCAAGGCAACGAUGGUUAGGGGGUCUGAGAGGAUGAUCCCCCACACUGGUACUGAGACACGGACCAGACUCCUACGGGUGGCAG